rnacentral:rRNA from 1 species
UACAGAGGUCUCAAGCGUUGUUCGGAUUCAUUGGGCGUAAAGGGUGCGUAGGCGGCGCGGUAAGUCGGGUGUGAAAUCUUGGAGCUUAACUCCGAAACUGCAUUCGAUACUGCCGUGCUUGAGGACUGGAGAGGAGACUGGAAUUUACGGUGUAGCGGUGAAAUGCGUAGAUAUCGUAAGGAAGACCAGUGGCGAAGGCGGGGUCUCUGGACAGUUCCUGACGCUGAGGCACGAAGGCCAGGGGAGCAAACGGG